UUGAUUAUGACGUGCUUGCACUGAAUGAGAUUUUAACACGAAGUGAGUGGCGGACGGGUGAGUAACACGUGGGUAACCUGCCCAGAAGCAGGGGAUAACACCUGGAAACAGAUGCUAAUACCGUAUAACAGAGAAAACCGCCUGGUUUUCUUUUAAAAGAUGGCUCUGCUAUCACUUCUGGAUGGACCCGCGGCGCAUUAGCUAGUUGGUGAGGUAACGGCUCACCAAGGCGAUGAUGCGUAGCCGACCUGAGAGGGUAAUCGGCCACAUUGGGACUGAGACACGGCCCAGACUCCUACGGGAGGCAGCAGUAGGGAAUCUUCCACAAUGGACGCAAGUCUGAUGGAGCAACGCCGCGUGAGUGAAGAAGGGUUUCGGCUCGUAAAGCUCUGUUGUUAAAGAAGAACGUGGGUGAGAGUAACUGUUCACCCAGUGACGGUAUUUAACCAGAAAGCCACGGCUAACUACGUGCCAGCAGCCGCGGUAAUACGUAGGUGGCAAGCGUUAUCCGGAUUUAUUGGGCGUAAAGCGAGCGCAGGCGGUCUUUUAAGUCUAAUGUGAAAGCCUUCGGCUCAACCGAAGAAGUGCAUUGGAAACUGGGAGACUUGAGUGCAGAAGAGGACAGUGGAACUCCAUGUGUAGCGGUGAAAUGCGUAGAUAUAUGGAAGAACACCAGUGGCGAAGGCGGCUGUCUGGUCUGUAACUGACGCUGAGGCUCGAAAGCAUGGGUAGCGAACAGGAUUAGAUACCCUGGUAGUCCAUGCCGUAAACGAUGAUUACUAAGUGUUGGAGGGUUUCCGCCCUUCAGUGCUGCAGCUAACGCAUUAAGUAAUCCGCCUGGGGAGUACGACCGCAAGGUUGAAACUCAAAAGAAUUGACGGGGGCCCGCACAAGCGGUGGAGCAUGUGGUUUAAUUCGAAGCUACGCGAAGAACCUUACCAGGUCUUGACAUCUUCUGCCAACCUAAGAGAUUAGGCGUUCCCUUCGGGGACAGAAUGACAGGUGGUGCAUGGUUGUCGUCAGCUCGUGUCGUGAGAUGUUGGGUUAAGUCCCGCAACGAGCGCAACCCUUAUUACUAGUUGCCAGCAUUCAGUUGGGCACUCUAGUGAGACUGCCGGUGACAAACCGGAGGAAGGUGGGGACGACGUCAAAUCAUCAUGCCCCUUAUGACCUGGGCUACACACGUGCUACAAUGGAUGGUACAACGAGUCGCGAAACCGCGAGGUUUAGCUAAUCUCUUAAAACCAUUCUCAGUUCGGACUGUAGGCUGCAACUCGCCUACACGAAGUCGGAAUCGCUAGUAAUCGCGGAUCAGCAUGCCGCGGUGAAUACGUUCCCGGGCCUUGUACACACCGCCCGUCACACCAUGAGAGUUUGUAACACCCAAAGCCGG
rnacentral:rRNA from 1 species